rnacentral:rRNA from 1 species
GACGUAGGGCGCGAGCGUUGUCCGGAUUUAUUGGGCGUAAAGAGCUCGUAGGCGGCUCGUUGCGUCGGCUGUGAAAACCCGCAGCUCAACUGUGGGCUUGCAGCUGAUACGGGCGGGCUGGGAUUCGGUAGGGGAGACUGGAAUUCCUGGUGUAGCGGUGAAAUGCGCAGAUAUCAGGAGGAACACCGGUGGCGAAGGCGAAUCCCUGGAAAAUACCUGACACUGAGGCACGAAAGCUAGGGGAGCAAACAGG